AAGCACUCUAUUUGAUUUUCUUCGGAAAUGAAGAUUUUGUGACUGAGUGGCGGACGGGUGAGUAACGCGUGGGUAACCUGCCUCAUACAGGGGGAUAACAGUUGGAAACGACUGCUAAUACCGCAUAAGCGCACAGGAUUGCAUGAUCCGGUGUGAAAAACUCCGGUGGUAUGGGAUGGACCCGCGUCUGAUUAGCCAGUUGGCAGGGUAACGGCCUACCAAAGCGACGAUCAGUAGCCGACCUGAGAGGGUGACCGGCCACAUUGGGACUGAGACACGGCCCAAACUCCUACGGGAGGCAGCAGUGGGGAAUAUUGCACAAUGGGGGAAACCCUGAUGCAGCGACGCCGCGUGAGCGAAGAAGUAUUUCGGUAUGUAAAGCUCUAUCAGCAGGGAAGAAGAAUGACGGUACCUGACUAAGAAGCACCGGCUAAAUACGUGCCAGCAGCCGCGGUAAUACGUAGGGGGCAAGCGUUAUCCGGAUUUACUGGGUGUAAAGGGAGCGUAGACGGUGUGGCAAGUCUGAUGUGAAAGGCAUGGGCUCAACCUGUGGACUGCAUUGGAAACUGUCAUACUUGAGUGCCGGAGGGGUAAGCGGAAUUCCUAGUGUAGCGGUGAAAUGCGUAGAUAUUAGGAGGAACACCAGUGGCGAAGGCGGCUUACUGGACGGUAACUGACGUUGGGGCUCGAAAGCGUGGGGAGCAA
rnacentral:rRNA from 1 species